rnacentral:rRNA from 1 species
CAGCAGCCACGGUAAUACGGAGGGUGCAAGCGUUAAUCGGAAUUACUGGGCGUAAAGCGCACGCAGGCGGUCUGACAAGUCAGAUGUGAAAUCCCCGGGCUUAACCUGGGAACUGCAUUUGAAACUGUCAGGCUGGAGUCUUGUAGAGGGGGGUGGAAUUCCAGGUGUAGCGGUGAAAUGCGUAGAGAUCUGGAGGAAUACCGGUGGCGAAGGCGGCCCUGGACAAAGACUGACGCUCAGGUGCGAAAGCGUGGGGAGCAAACAGGAUUAGAUACCCGGGUAGUCCCUGUCUCUUAUACAC